UUGUUUCUAUCCAUUGGAAGGUCGACUAUCCAUAUAAAUAUGGAAUGGAUAGUCGACCUUCCAAUGGAUAGAAAUAAAUAUGGAU
rnacentral:sRNA from 1 species